UACGAAGGGGGGCGAGCGUUGUUCGGAUUUACUGGGCGUAAAGGGCGCGCAGGCGGCUAUCCAAGUCAGGCGUGAAAGCCCCGGGCUUAACCUGGGAGGUGCGUCUGGGACUGGGUGGCUAGAGAUCGGGAGAGGAGAGUGGAAUUCCCAGUGUAGAGGUGAAAUUCGUAGAUAUUGGGAAGAACACCGGUGGCGAAGGCGGCUCUCUGGACCGAUACUGACGCUGAGGCGCGAAAGCUAGGGGAGCAAACAGG
rnacentral:rRNA from 1 species